GAUGAACGCUGGCGGCGUGCCUAAUACAUGCAAGUCGAGCGGAGCGGGGACGGGUGAGUAACACGUGGGUGACCUCCUAGAAGACUGGGUUAACUUCGGGAAACCGUAUCUCGACCGGACACUUAUAGAUGGAUCCGCGCUGCAUUAGCUAGUUGGUAAGGUAACGGCUUACCAAGGCAACGAUGCAUAGCCGACCUGAGAGGGUGAGCGGCCACACUGGAACUGAGACACGGUCCAGACUCCUACGGGAGGCAGCAGUAGGGAAUCUUCCGCAAUGGGCGAAAGCCUGACGGAGCAACGCCGCGUGAGUGAUGAAGGUCUUCGGAUCGUAAAGCUCUGUUAUUAGGGAGGCGGUACCUGAUCAGAAAGCCACGGCUAACUACGUGCCAGCAGCCGCGGUAAUUC
rnacentral:rRNA from 1 species